ensembl:misc_RNA 7SK 7SK RNA
GGAUGUGAGGGCGAUCUGGCUGCAACAUCUGUCGCCCCAUUGAUUGCCAGGGUUGAUUCGGCUAAUCUCGCUGGCUAGGCGGGUGUCCCCUUCCUCCCUCACCGCUCCAUGUGCGUCCCUCCCGAAGCUGCGCGCUCGGUCGAAGAGGAUGACCACCCCCGAUAGAGGAGGACCGUUUCCUCGGUCAAGGGUAUAGAGUAGCUGCGCUCCCCUGCUAGAACCUCCAAACAAGCUCUCAAAUUUAUUAGUAUUGAGUUGAUUGUAAUAUUCUCUUCUAAUUAUUUCACUUUUUUUCUAUAGUUUUAAUCUUGUU